AAAAAUAAGAAGAAGAAGGAAAAGGAAUGGAAGGAGAAGAAAGAAGAAGAAGAAGAAUAAGAAAAAUAGGAGAGGAAGAGAAGAAUAGGAGGAAAAAAGAAAAUAAUAAUAAUAAUAAUAAGAAGAAGAAGAAGAGAAGUAGAAAACAGAGAAGAAGAAUAUGAGGAAAAAGAAAAAAGAAAAUCAGAAGAAGAAGAAGAAGAAGAAGAAUAAGAAGAAGAAGAAGAAGAAGACAAGAAGAAAAGAAGAAGAAGGAGA
rnacentral:lncRNA from 1 species